rnacentral:rRNA from 1 species
CAGCAGUGGGGAAUAUUGGACAAUGGGCGCAAGCCUGAUCCAGCCAUGCCGCGUGUGUGAAGAAGGCCUUUUGGUUGUAAAGCACUUUAAGCGAGGAGGAGGCUACCGAGAUUAAUACUCUUGGAUAGUGGACGUUACUCGCAGAAUAAGCACCGGCUAACUCUGUGCCAGCAGCCGCGGUAAUACAGAGGGUGCGAGCGUUAAUCGGAUUUACUGGGCGUAAAGCGUGCGUAGGCGGCUUUUUAAGUCGGAUGUGAAAUCCCUGAGCUUAACUUAGGAAUUGCAUUCGAUACUGGGAAGCUAGAGUAUGGGAGAGGAUGGUAGAAUUCCAGGUGUAGCGGUGAAAUGCGUAGAGAUCUGGAGGAAUACCGAUGGCGAAGGCAGCCAUCUGGCCUAAUACUGACGCUGAGGUACGAAAGCAUGGGGAGCAAACAGGAUUAGA